rnacentral:RNase_P_RNA from 1 species
GAAGCAGGUCAGGUGGUCGCCGAUUCCGUUCACCGGAAUCGGAGGAAAGUCCGGACUCCACAGGGCAGGGUGCUGGGUAACACCCAGUCUCGGUGACGAGCAGGAAAGUGCCACAGAAAGCAAACCGCCGAAGCGGGUUCGCCCGCGGCAGCAAGGGUGAAAGGGUGCGGUAAGAGCGCACCGCGCCCCUGGCAACAGGGGUGGCAAGGUAAACCCCACCGGGAGCGAGACCAACC